GUAAGGAAAUGUAUUACUAAGUUUUAGUGACCAGUAAAAAAAACUGUAACCUUUCUUCAAAUAUGAACACAGGUUUUAAGUAAAAUGAUUAAUAACAGAUUUUAACACAUUUAUCACUUGUUAGUCAUAAAAAAAUGAGUAAUGAGUAAGAAAAGAAAUAACGCAGUGACAUAAGCCCAACGUAUGACGUAUGAUGAAGACGUGCCUUUUUUGUGGGAAGUCCCUUUUUGUAUCUGCACAAAAUAAAAACAUGGGGAACAGCGGUUUGUGUGCCAAAAAGACUAAUGAGGACCAUCCAGGGGCCACUCCCUCUAAUGUUGAGAAUCGGGACCCUAACCAACUAUUGAUGAUGUCAAAACAACAUGGAUUUGACUGUGCCUGAAAAGAACAGUACUUGCUAAGCUGUGGAAUUAGAAUACUACUACUCAGUAGUCAAAAAACAUCAAUAGACCUGGAAGAAGAGAACAAAGGAAAAAAUUGCUGCUAUUUUUGCUGCUAACGUGUCUGCUAUUGUGUUUAGCAAAUAGCUGAAAAAUUAUGAAAGAAUGUUGUUGUUACACUCAAAAAAUAAACACAUAUAUUAAGC
ensembl:lncRNA